rnacentral:siRNA from 1 species
CUUGAUAACGCUUGAAACCGCAAC